rnacentral:rRNA from 1 species
UACAGAGGUGGCGAGCGUUGUUCGGAUUUACUGGGCGUAAAGGGUGCGUAGGUGGCUGCCUGUGUCGGAUGUGAAAUCCCUCGGCUCAACUGAGGAAUGGCAUUCGAAACUGGGUAGCUGGAGUGCAGGAUGGGAGAGCGGAAUUCUUGGUGUAGCGGUGAAAUGCGUUGAUAUCAAGAAGAACACCGGUGGCGAAGGCGGCUCUCUGGAAUGCAACUGACACUGAGGCACGAAAGCUGGGGGAG